rnacentral:rRNA from 1 species
CAGCGUAUCGUCAAGUCUAGCGGCAGACGGGUGAGUAAUACUUGGGCAAUCUGCCCUUGAGUGAGGGACAACCUGCCGAAAGGCGGGCUAAUACCCCAUAAGACCACGGGAGUGCAUAUUCCAGGGGUCAAAGCUCCGCAAGGGGCGCUUGAGGAGGAGCCCGAGUCCUAUCAUGGUAGUUGGCGGGGCAACGGCCCACCAAGCCGUUGACGGGUAGCCGGCCUGAAAGGGCAAACGGCCACACUGGCACUGAGACACGGGCCAGACUCCUACGGGAGGCAGCAGUGGGGAAUUUUGGACAAUGGGGGCAACCCUGAUCCAGCGACGCCGCGUGAAGGAUGAAGGUCUUCGGAUUGUAAACUUCUUUUGGAGGGGAUGAAUGUCUGCGUGAAUAACGCAGAGUGACAGUACUCUCUGAAUAAGCCACGGCUAACUACGUGCCAGCAGCCGCGGUAAUACGUAGGUGGCAAGCGUUACUCGGAAUCACUAGGCGUAAAGCGCAGGUAGGAGGUUUGAUAAGUCUGUUGUGAAAGCUCCCGGCUUAACUGGGAGAGGUCAACGGAAACUGUCAGGCUGGAGUGCGGUAGAGGUAGCUGGAAUUCCCGGUGUAGCGGUGAAAUGCGUAGAUAUCGGGAGGAAUACCUAUGGCGAAAGCAGGCUACUGGACCGUCACUGACUCUGAUCUGCGAAAGCUAGGGGAGCAAACAGGAUUAGAUACCCUGGUAGUCCUAGCCCUAAACGAUGCUCAUUAGGUGUGGGA